rnacentral:rRNA from 1 species
UACAGAGGGGGCAAGCGUUGUUCGGAAUUACUGGGCGUAAAGGGCGCGUAGGCGGCCGGCUAAGUCGAACGUGAAAUCCCCGGGCUCAACCCGGGAACUGCGUCCGAUACUGGCAGGCUUGAAUCCGGGAGAGGGAUGCGGAAUUCCAGGUGUAGCGGUGAAAUGCGUAGAUAUCUGGAGGAACACCGAUGGCGAAGGCAGCUCUCUGGGACGGUACUGACGCUGAGGAGCAAAAGCGUGGGGAGCAAACAGG